rnacentral:rRNA from 1 species
AUUGAACGCUGGCGGCAUGCUUUACACAUGCAAGUCGAACGGCAGCGGGGGCUUCGGCCUGCCGGCGAGUGGCGAACGGGUGAGUAAUGCAUCGGAACGUGCCCAUGUCGUGGGGGAUAACGUAUCGAAAGGUACGCUAAUACCGCAUACGUCCUGAGGGAGAAAGCGGGGGAUCUUCGGACCUCGCGCGAUUGGAGCGGCCGAUGUCGGAUUAGCUAGUAGGUGAGGUAAAGGCUCACCUAGGCGACGAUCCGUAGCGGGUCUGAGAGGAUGAUCCGCCACACUGGGACUGAGACACGGCCCAGACUCCUACGGGAGGCAGCAGUGGGGAAUUUUGGACAAUGGGCGCAAGCCUGAUCCAGCCAUGCCGCGUGAGUGAAGAAGGCCUUCGGGUUGUAAAGCUCUUUCGGCCGGGAAGAAAUCGUGUUCUCUAACAUAGGACAU